UACGGAGGGUGCAAACGUUGCUCGGAAUCAUUGGGCGUAAAGCGCACGUAGGCGGCUCGUUAAGUCGGAUGUGAAAUCCCUGGGCUCGACCCAGGAAGUGCAUUCGAAACUGGCGAGCUUGAAUAUGGAAGAGGGUCGCGGAAUUCCCGGUGUAGAGGUGAAAUUCGUAGAUAUCGGGAGGAACACCAGUGGCGAAGGCGGCGACCUGGGCCAAUAUUGACGCUGAGGUGCGAAAGCGUGGGGAGCAAACAGG
rnacentral:rRNA from 1 species